rnacentral:rRNA from 1 species
UACGUAGGUGGCAAGCGUUAUCCGGAUUUACUGGGUGUAAAGGGCGUGUAGGCGGGAUGGUAAGUCAGAUGUGAAAACUAUGGGCUCAACCCAUAGCCUGCAUUUGAAACUAUCGUUCUUGAGUGUUGGAGAGGCAGGCGGAAUUCCGUGUGUAGCGGUGAAAUGCGUAGAUAUACGGAGGAACACCAGUGGCGAAGGCGGCCGCCUGGCCUGUUGCUGACGCUGAGGCACGAAAGCGUGGGGAGCAAAUAGG